GAUGAAGAACGCUGCGAAAUGCGAUACUUGGUGUGAAUUGCAGAAUCCCGUGAACCAUCGAGUCUUUGAACGCAAGUUGCGCCCGAAGCCACUAGGCCGAGGGCACGCCUGCCUGGGCGUCACACGCCGUUGCCCCCCCAUCUACUCCUUCGGGAUUGCGGGGGGGCGGAUGAUGGCCUCCUGUGCGCCUAGCCGCGCGGUUGGCAUAAAUACCAAGUCCUCGGCGACGCACGCCACGACAAUCGGUGGUUGCGAAACCUCGGUUGCCCGUCGUGUGCGUUCGUCGCGCAUCGAGGGCUCGAAAAAAUGCUCGGCUCCGGCUGGGCUUUCAACGCGACCCCAGGUCAGGCGGGGUUACCCGCUGAAUUUAAGCAUAUCAAUAAGCGGAGGA
rnacentral:misc_RNA from 1 species